GGUAAUAUGGCUGAGUAAGCAUUAGACUGUAAAUCUAAAGACAGGGGUUGAGUCCCCUUAUUAUCA
rnacentral:tRNA from 1 species